UACAGAGGGUGCAAGCGUUGUUCGGAAUUAUUGGGCGUAAAGGGCGCGUAGGCGGUGCGGUAAGUCUGUAGUGAAAUCUCUGGGCUCAACUCAGAGUCUGCUAUAGAAACUGCCGUGCUUGAGUGUGGGAGAGGUGAGUGGAAUUCCCGGUGUAGCGGUGAAAUGCGUAGAUAUCGGAAGGAACACCUGUGGCGAAAGCGGCUCACUGGACCAUUACUGACGCUGAGGCACGAAAGCUAGGGGAGCAAACAGG
rnacentral:rRNA from 1 species